UGGUUUUCGUUUUAUUUCUUAGUUUCAAAGAGGAACAUAUUUGUGAUCUUCACCGGUCCACAAUGGUGGUUCCUGGGAAUGGGUUCACCAAAAACCCCAAAACAAACCUCGCAUCGUCGUCUGUUUCGCAAGCCUUCACCAUCGAAAUCCGGAUAUUUUCAGCCACAUUUAAAAAUCGAUUCUUGAUCAGUAUCGUAAGCAAUGAUGCAAAAGACUCAACACUGGGUCUAAAAUUAGUUCUUUGACAAAGUAUUGAAUAAAGAAAGAGCUGCCUGUGGCUUCUAGUUACGGUUCGAAGAAUCUUUCAAUCGGGCCCCUCACUAUUUCAAGAAAAUGUGUACUCUUUAACAUCUAUCGAUCUUGCUGCUUGCUUGUCCAACAAAUUCAUCAAUUCUACUCUUUAUCCAACCAGAAUUUGUUCCACCUGCGCAUCAGGUGUUUGAUGAAAUGCACCAGUGAACUUUUGUCUCAAAAUUGCUUAAAUAGCGUAGGUUGUUAUCGAGAAAGGGUGUUAUCACUCAAAAAGUGAAUUUACGCUUUGUUCCCUUGGUCCACGUGUAACUUGUUCAGAUUCUCCAUCUGUAUGACUUUUCACAAUGGCUUUUUUUAUCUUGCACAAGUAUUACAUGUCACUCCUUCAUCAUUUUGAACAAGUUUACUACUUUGAAGCAAAAGCAUGGACUCCUAUUCAAUGUCCAAAAUGAACAAAGUCAUGCUCCCUGAAAAUCAAGUCACAUUAGGGAAGAGGUUUACCAGGCAGGAACUACAAAACCGAAAUGGAGCAUUAUAGAAAUAAUUUCAGAAGAUAGCCACUCAUUAACAAUGCAGUAAUGCCAUUUCAGCAAACAUUAUUUCACAAAUAUGAUGUUGGAUGACAACCCAAAAAUGAUGGUGAAAAUUCUCAUCAAACUCCUGAAAACAAACUGAAUAAAGGGUAUUCUGACAAUUAAAAGAGCGGUAGUGAAGCUGAAGAGGGUACUAAAGAUAAGAAUUUAAAUCUUAUAAUGGAAGCAGUUGAAAUGGGAGCUGAAAAUUAUGACAUUGAAAGGAAGCCAAACUAUAGUUCUAGAUUUUAUCAAGUUUAGCUUUCCUCAACAAUGUUGCUUUUAGAGAUUUUAGUUUACCUUUUAUGUUUUUAUUUCUAAGGUUUUGUUGGUAAUAUGUUUGGUAAAAGUAGUGUGUUUGUAAUACUACUUUCUUGA